rnacentral:rRNA from 1 species
UACGUAGGGUGCAAGCGUUGCCCGGAUUUAUUGGGCGUAAAGGGCGCGUAGGCGGCUCGGCACGUCCGUUGUGAAAUCGCCCGGCUCAACUGGGCGGGGUCAGCGGAUACGGUCGAGCUUGAGCAAGCUAGGGGGCAAUGGAAUUCCUGGUGUAGCGGUGGAAUGCGCAGAUAUCAGGAGGAACACCGGUGGCGAAGGCGGGUCUCUGGGCAGUAACUGACGCUGAGGAGCGAAAGCGUGGGGAGCGAACAGG